UCUGGCCCUAAAAUGUGCUCCGUUUCUUAUGACGAUCCAGGUAAGCUAAAAUGUUCUCACCUUUUCCUCCUUGUCACCUUGCCAAUUUUUGUGGAUUAUGAUCUCUUCUCCCAUAUAAACUGGGAACAGUAUGGACAGUUACUUACUGUCACUCACUUCAUAAACAUCCGUUUGGCACCUACCCUGGUUUCUACAAGGAUGGGCUCCUGUCCUAGGACUUGCUAACUCUUCCAGAGCUGCAAGUCCAGAUCUGGCAGGAGUCACAGAAUGCUGCACCCAAGCCCGCCCCGCAACAAAUGCCUGUCCUGGCUGGGGAAAGGGGAGAACCAGGAGCGUUUUGAAAACGUGUGCCGGUUUUCCUGUGCGGUUUGGGUCACUUACCAAAUGCAGGAAGAAACAAUUACCACACCGAAUUAAGCCCUGUGACAUCUAAGAAAACUCUAUACACACUUUUCUGAGGGAGAAGCAACGUGUUUAAGAUCAAGGGAUUAGUUUAACUAAAGGUUUAAAUUCAGCCCUGGAGCCAAGGGGUAACUCUACUUUGAAAUUCCACUCCAUUUCAAGUUCAGGAACGUAAAUUGAGUAAUGUAGAGCAAACACACGCUGUCCUGAGAGGUGCGGCCAACCUGGAGUAUGAGAUACGGGACUCGUGAGACCAAACCAGAUACAACAUUUAAAUAAGACUUGACUAGAAGUUCAGGGAUAUUUCAUGAAGAAAUAAAUUCAGUGAGUAAUAUACAACCACAUAUAGCAGCUUAUAAAAUGUGACUUACUCAGUCGUCAUCCCAGUAUUUGCUAAAUGCCGAUCCCGUGCGUGGUCUGGGUUAGGCUCUAUAAACACCAAGAACAGGAUGUGACCCUUUCCUGGAGCUCUCAAGCUAAUAAAGUUAUGGUAAUAUUUUCACCAUAAUACAUCAAGUACUUUAAAAAGAGAUGCACAGCAUUCAACACCGGCACACCUGCUAGAGUAGAGCCUUUGCCCCCAGCACCACUGUCUAGGACACCCUCUUCUCCCUGCGUGGGCGAGCUGACGCUCCUGCUGCUUGCCACAAUCCCCUCCUCCACGGCUGCUCUUCUGGCCUGAAGGACCUGCCCUGCCGUCAGGGCUUGGGACCAGCAGCCCCCGACCUGUCCACACAGAAGCUCAAAUAGGACCAUUUUGCCUCUGGACCCCUCACACUACGUGGAGGAAGGAGGAAAAGUGAUAUUUUACCACAGUAUCUGCUAGGAUGUUGGAGGGCCUUCAGGCUUUUAUAACCUGUAUGAGAAGCUGAGAAGAAAGGGCCAUGCGGUGUGUCCAUGGACUGUGUGAACAGUCACAUAAGCUUGUGUUACUGAUUCCCCAAGGACAUAGUUCAAGCAAGAAUGGAUUUAGAUACCCGGUCAGUCUGGGAAGCCUUCCUCAUCCCCACGGUGAUAUGCAAAGACAUUAUUUAAAACUCUUCAAAUUUCCUCUGAUUCAUCAUAUUUCUCCCUUGGAUGCAGCCCAGCCAGUUGGUGAAAGAGGGAGGAUGUCCUUCACAGUGAAGGGGUCCAUUCCACAAGCACUCCACGUGGGGGCGCAGCCAAAGGGCACAGGCUUGGGUUUGCAGAUCCCAGCUCUCUCACUAACCCUGUGAUCCCUUCCCCAUCUCAAGACUGGAGCAGAUCCUACCUACCUUGCAUGGUUUUUUUGCAGAUUAAACCAUGGCAUGUGUAAAAAGCACACAGUGGGAGCUUAUGAGUGGUGGCUCUUGUCAUUAUCUAAGGGACCCCAGAGAAGCAUGCUGCUGAGCAGGUGAGCAGUGGAAGUUCCAUUCCACUGUGGAAGGCAUCAAUUACCAUGGGAGAAACCAGGCAUCCGACUGUUAGGAAAAUACAUUUCAGUUGCUUCCAUGAGAGGUCCUCAGUCUCCCAAAAGGGGAUUGUUCAUGCCCAAAACGCCACCCAUAAUCUAACUGCAGAAUGUUUAUGAUAUUGGCAUGUUAAAGAAAAUCAAUGAAUUUUCUUUAUUGUAUUACCUUUCUACUUAAAUCAUAACAAAUUUUUGGGUUGUUUUUUUUUUGGAAUUAUAUUGGUAUGCCUGAAUAAGCAGCUCAAGGACAAAGAAGAAAGCACAUCUCCUAUAAUUACAGUUUCUGAACAUGAACCUUACAUAGGGCCUGCACACAGGCGCCCUGAUGAAGGUCCCUCUAGAUGCUGCACAAAUAGGCAGGCCUACAGGGCUCUGUGUUUCCCAGCAGAACAGCAUUAUUUUAUAGUGUUUGCAUUUGUUCAGGUCAUUUGCACAUCAGAAUGGGGUAGAUGUGGACCAAUUCUGUGGGAAGCAUUAUCACUUUGCCUGCCACUUGGAAGUUCAGCGGGACUAAUCAGUGGUCCAUGGUAACCGUCACUGCUAGGUGGGCAAACUGCAUAAAGCAACAGCUCACAGAAAGUGCAAUGUGAAUGCCUAGCAAUCACUUAAAGGAGAAUUAAGAGUGAUGGACAUUCCUAAACAGCUGGUGGAAUGGCAAUUGGAAUAACCUUUCUGGAAAGUUGGUUGGCAAUAUGUAUAAAGAGCCUUAAAAAGUUAACAAUUGAGAGCAUAGACUUUGCAGUCAGACUGGACAGGUUAAAUUUUGGCCCCACAAUGCACCCCUAUGUUUAUUACUGUAUUAUUUACAGUAGCCAAGAUAUGGAAGCAACCAAAGUGCCCAUCAACAGAUGAAUGGAUAAAGAAGUAGUACAUACAUACAAUGGAAUACUAUUCAGCUGUAAAAAAGAAAGAAAUUCUGCCAUUUUUGGUAACAUGGAUGAACCUAGAGGGUAUUAUGGUCAGUGAAGUAAGUCAGGCAGAGAAAGACAAAUACCAUAUGAUUUCACUUAUAUGUGGGAUCUAAAAACAAAACAAACUGAAGAUAACAGCAGUAGACUCACAGACACUGAGAAGUGACUGAUGAUUACCACAGGUGAAGGGUUGGGUAGAGGGGAGAAAUAGGAGAAGGAGACAAAAAUAAAUAAAUAAAAAUUUUAAAAUAAAUAGAAUUAAAUAAUGAGAAAAAAAUGUGGACCCCACUAUCAUGGCUUGGGACAUGUGAGCCUGUUAUUCAACUGAUUUGUGCUUUGGUUUUGUCCCACAGAUGGGAAGGACUUUAUCAUCUGUGAAAUGGGAAUGAAAAUAUCUACCCUUUGGCACUGUUAGGAGAAUUCAGUGCAGCCCAGGUACAUGGUAAGCACUCAAGAAAUACAGUUACUGUAAUACUCCCAAGGAGCUAUUGAGAAACAAGGUCAAAGAUUUAUGCACACAAAUAUUCAUUGCAACAUUUUAAAAAUAAAACUAGAAAAAAGAAACCCAAAUGCAGAACAAUGGAAAACUAAAUUAUGGUUCACUCAAACAAUGGAAUAUUGUUCUUCUAUUUAAAAUAAAAACAACCUAUCUUUACCAACCUUC